UGCUCAGCCCAUCCUUUGUCUCCUUCCCGCAGACUCCCUUUCCGUUUCCUGUCUCCGGUCCCCAUGCAAACUCAACUCUCUCCCGUCCCCGCCUCCCCACCGCCCUCGCUCCCUUCUUCCAUCACAGAGCUCCGAUCCCUUGUUGGUUCCCGUAUCUGUUCCACUAUCUCCGCCUCUGGCCAUCUUCUAACCAGCGUCUGACACAGACGUCCACCUGUCCCUCGCACCAGGGCAGCCGGCGGCUGUGAGCGCACCUGUCGGCAUUGUCCUCACUCUCUUCAGCGGUCACAGCUUGCAGGUUGAUGUCUGCCGGCCACAGACAACACUGUAGCCACUGUCAUGGGCAGAGCUGGAGAGACCCAGGUCGUGCUUUGGAGUGGAAAGCAUCUCUAUGGCCCUGCCCCAGAACCGGAUCUACUCACUGCCAGGAACCUGGAAUCAUCUCCAGAGUCCACAUCUCAGGGAGCCUUACUAUGACCCAGAUUCUCCUCUCCCAUAUCUAUCUGUUGUAGUUGAUGACUGCAGCUUGCACUGUGACCUGGGCCACGAUGCAGCCUGCUUCACAUCUUCUUAAAGGUACCUGCCCCCAAACCAUUGACUCCCUAUUCCUCAGCCCUACGCACCCAUAAGGUCAAGCCCCAGAACAAAUGUUUAGGGAACGAGACUCGCUGUUCACAUUUUAUUUUGCCAAUAGCAACAGGACAAUGCCACAAAUCGGCAAACCCCACCCCAGCCCCAGCAUUCCACUUUGCCUGUCUUGUUUUUUUUUUUUUUUUUAAGAUUUAUUUAUUUAUUUAAAAAGCAGGUUUCAGAGAGAGAAAGAGAAAGGUCUUCCACUUGCUGGUUCACUCUCUGAAUGGCUGCAACAGUCCGAGUUGUGCUGAUCUGAAGUCAGGAGCCAGGAGCUUCUUCUGGGUCUCCUACAUGGGUGCAGGGGCCCGAGGACUUGGGGCAUUUUCCACUACUUUCUCAGGAGGUAGCAGAGACCUGGAUCGGAAGUGGAGCAGCCAGGACUCAAACCGGCACCCAUGUGGGGUGCCAGCACUGCAGGCGGCGGCUUCACCCACUGCACCACAGUGCCAGCCCUUUGGCUGCCUCUUGCUUCAUCAACUUUACCCCUCCAAGUCUGAUUCAGGGAGUCUGACAUGUUGUUCCUCAAGGUGCUUGACAGGAGACCUGAAGCUUGACAAUAAUCUGGAGAUCGGGAGACAUGAGGAAAGCAGAAGGUUCCUGCGUUAG
rnacentral:lncRNA from 1 species